GUUAAGAGCUAGGGCUAGGACUUGGAGGAUGUGUAGGCAAACGGAAAGAGAGCCGGGGGAAGAAAAACCGAAAUGGAUUCAUUCUCUGUCCUGGAUGGAGGAGGAGAGGAGAAGAGAAGGGGACGUGCGAGCUUCCUUCAACUGCCUCUGUCCGGUGAAAAGUGCUCAGACCCCCGGGGCUGCGCCGGGCUCCGGAGUCCGCGCGGACUUUGGCGUUGAGCUGCCAAUCAAACCUCUCACAGCCACCACCCUGCUCUGGCACCGACAU
ensembl:misc_RNA